GAAACUGCAAGAAAUUGGGAAAGCAGACGAUGUUUUUGGCAUUCGUUCUACUUCUUGUAUCCCAGCGUUCGUUAACGAAAAUUCCGUCACUACGCUUUGAACAUGGUCGCUGUAUUUACGACAAUUACUCACUGAGCGAAGGAGGCUACUUGCGCCUUGCGAGUCCUUGUGUGAGGUUGAUUUGUCGGAACUACCACAGGGAACUAAGAGUCAAUGGAUGUCCUCCACCUCCGAACUCAAGCGAUCCAGAUGAUCCUAAAUAUGCAAUGUACUGGCCUUAUUGCUGCAAUAGCAGCGCCGCGUAACUCGCAAUAACUUGAGCCAUCUGCGUGAAAUACGCAUAAAUUUUUAUAACCCA